UACAGAGGGUGCAAGCGUUGUUCGGAAUUACUGGGCGUAAAGCGCGUGUAGGUGGCGAUGUAAGUCGGGUGUGAAAUCCCUCAGCUUAACUGAGGAAGUGCACUCGAUACUGUGUCGCUUGAGUGUUGGAGGGGAUGGCGGAAUUCCCGGUGUAGAGGUGAAAUUCGUAGAUAUCGGGAGGAACACCUGUGGCGAAGGCGGCCAUCUGGACAACUACUGACACUGAGACGCGAAAGCGUGGGUAAGCAAACAGGG
rnacentral:rRNA from 1 species